AACCCGGGAUGGGGCGUGGAAGGGCUGGCCGCCCGCCUCGCGGACGCCGGCGUGGCCUACGCCGUGCUGCGGUGGUUCGACGCCCUGCCCGCGAUG
rnacentral:tRNA from 1 species